rnacentral:lncRNA from 1 species
AAGAAUAUGACAUAGAUAUAUGACACAUAUGUUUAACGUUAAUUAGAUCUAGUCAACGUAUGCUGUACAAGUAGUGAAAUUAAAGCUACCCCAACCAGCAUUAGAAUUGAAGCUGAAUAUAAUAGCCUAUUAUUUUAUUAUUCAUAAAUAAAAAGUCAUUCCACUUGAAUUUCUUUGUCAUUCAUGCAAAGUAUGUAAGGCAAAGACAUAAAGAGAAUUAAACAGAAUCAGUACUGAUGCAUAAUAGAGAUCUUAUUUCAUCGCAAUUGGGCACUAAAUGUAACAUUUGUGUGUAGCUAGUUCAGCGACACCGGUAAAGAGUAGGAUCCCAGAGCUCAUAUGUACAGCUGCAGCAAAUCAAACAAUCACUUCUGCAAUCAUCAUCAGAAAUACAAGGUCUCCCACAAGUGAAAAUAUCAUUAAAUUGUGGAAGUAAUCUCCUUUUCGGUGCUGAUAGAUUUGGAUCGACAUUUCUUGCGGCCAUAACUUCAUUCUUGGAAAACCACAUCGCAUCAACUGAAAAUAUUAAUCUCCAUCAUAAUUAUAAAAUUAAGUUAUGAUUGGUAUAAUACGAAAAAUCACAAUAAUGUAGGUUUACAACAAAGAGGUAAAGAGAGAUAAAUACUAACUAGUGAUAAUCAUGAGAAGAAUAGUGAAGACCGAACCAAACUUAAGCCACGCCAUACUAGGUCAAAUACUUCAAGCUUUAUGAAAUUUUUUUUUGUGAGCGUCUUGUUGCUCUUCAAAAGUCACAAUUUAUAGUUGUGACUAUAGUUUGCUCUUAUGAUGUUAAGACUUGUCUGAGUUGACCUUGCAUCUAAACUUUUGCAAUCGCAUCUGAACUUUUGCAAUCAAUUACAUCAAUCGUAAUCAAUUAUUUCUAAUUAAACUAUUCUUGGCUUACCAGCCUUGAA